UACAGAGGGGGCAAGCGUUAUUCGGAAUUAUUGGGCGUAAAGGGCGCGUAGGCGGCUUCGCAAGUGGAAGGUGAAAUCCCUGGGCUCAACCCAGGAACUGCGUCCGAUACUGGUUGGCUUGAAUCCGGGAGAGGGACGUGGAAUUCCAGGUGUAGCGGUGAAAUGCGUAGAUAUCUGGAGGAACACCGGUGGCGAAGGCGACGUCCUGGACCGGCAUUGACGCUGAGGCGCGAAAGCCAGGGGAGCAAACGGG
rnacentral:rRNA from 1 species